CUUAACAGAAAAUCUACCAAAAUUCCGUCAAGAGAUAACCAAGCUUUAAUUCGUGCAAUCAACUAUUUCAAUAACAACGAAUCAGUAGAAAAUAUCCCCAAAAAAUUUUGGAUUAAAUAAACAGACAGUAUGAAAAUUGAGUGCUAGAAGAGUAAACAUUGCGGCCGGAGGAAUUGUUGAGCGAAUGAGGAGGGGAUUUGACGGGAUCUUCGACGUCGUUGUUUUGACGAGGGGAAUUCGGUAAUGCUGCCGCCGCCUCUUUUUUCCCCCGACUACUACUGCUCUCCGCCGCCAUUAAUUCCACUCUCAUCUGCCGAUAAAUGUUCUGGGUUGAAGGAAUUC
rnacentral:lncRNA from 1 species